rnacentral:rRNA from 1 species
UACAGAGGUCUCAAGCGUUGUUCGGAUUCAUUGGGCGUAAAGGGUGCGUAGGUGGCGCCAUAAGUCAGGUGUGAAAUCUCGGGGCUCAACUCCGAAACUGCACUUGAUACUGUGGUGCUCGAGUACUGGAGAGGAGAUUGGAAUUUACGGUGUAGCAGUGAAAUGCGUAGAUAUCGUAAGGAAGACCAGUGGCGAAGGCGAAUCUCUGGACAGUUGCUGACACUGAGGCACGAAGGCCAGGGGAGCAAACGGG